UCCAGAGGUUUCUAGUACUGUAGCACAAAAUGAACGACGCGAUGUAGCGACACGAACGGCUAACAAAUUAUGUAAACGCAUGCUUUCCUUUUAUUCGAGAUUAUAUAAAUUAGAGCUACUGACGAUGAAAUAAAAUUUUCCCUCUGACUCUUUAGGAAAUUCCAUCGAAAACGCCCAACUUGUACAGCGCCAUUUUUUACGCUUUCCAAGUGAAACUCGUAUUUUGGUCUCUUACGGAUAGAACAAAUUAUUCACCCGUUAUUAAUUUAUUUUCGUUACAACAACUAUAAUUAUUAAAUAAAAAUAAACAGCCGACAGUAUUAAAAAAUAAGCUACACAAUGCGUCAUAAUUAUGUAGUGACAACAGUAACUGCACGUCGCAUAUGUAGCUGCGAACGUGAUGAGUCAACAAGCUAGUCAAGAGCCGUCAACAAAAAAACAAAGACGACAAAUACGCUGCACUGUUGCAAGCAGCGAACAAUCUUCGAUCCUCCCCCGAUAUCUUCAACACGAAUCAGAAUAAAGGCUCUAAUUUAAUCGGUUCACAGAUUCUAAGUGAAUUUGCUACAACUGACGGGAAAACCGAAAUCGGCAGGGCAGAAAUGUAGAGUAGAAGGAUUGAUUUGCAUUUUCUAUUGUUUCCUUGCACGUGCGCAAGGGUAAGAGAACAGGAAGUGUACAUUGAUCGCAUUUCUGACCUCUAUUAUCUUGCACGACUAAUUUGCUCGUGUGAUGCAACAUGUUCUAUCAUCGAAGUAUAAAUGAUAGUGGAAAAAAUAUGCAUAGGCGAUUGCGUAGCGGUUUAUCGAAAAACCAAGCUGGCAAGUGUUAUUGCGUUGAUAUCUAGAUCUAGAACAGUUUCCGAACCUAUUCUGAAUACAGAGUCUGCAUUUCGGACGUCAUGGUAUUACGUUCAUAUUUUCCUUUGUCUAUCGGAUUCAGUUAAUCCGGUCUAUACACAAUUUACAUGAUGAACGCUUGCGAAUACGUCGUCGAAUAAGCUCUAAAUAGAAAAUAAGAGCAUAUAAAACAUUGACGAGCAAGGAGGAGCCACCCUUGUUUGUUUCUUUUCGCGCUGCAUACGCGGACGCAGCGCAAAACGAUUAUAUGUCCUCGCGUUCUCAAUUACUUGCAUCGUUGCCACAUCCGUGUGUAUCGCAGUUUGCAUAUAAAGUGUAAAAACAAUCAGAGACGCAAAUAAAUUUUGCUGCCAAUUUUACCGCUUCAAUGCAACGUACAUCCGAACACAUUUGGCAAUGAAUGUCAUGGCUAUUUUGCAACUUCCGUUUAAACAGAUUUUCUUCAUUUUCUAUGACUGUAAAGAACUGCCUCGAAAAUUGCAGUUUUUUCUGAAGUGUUUAAAUGCAACAAGAAUUUGUAAUGGCGUGAACUUCGCGUAAACUCGAAUGCGUGUGCCAAUGAAUGGCCUUGAACCAACUUAGCCGACUUGUAUGGCUCCCAACCAGGGAAGAAAUUCAACGGCUUCAAGGGACCGGCACGAGUGUACGCCCGAUGCAAUCACCUGGCUACAUUCACAAUGCCAAAUCCAAUGCAUAGCAAAGUUGUGUAGGGAAUCCUUUGAAUACUCUCUUAACUUUUUCAAUGUUUUACCCCUACCUUAACAUGCUGAAUGACAAACAGUUACGACUUCAUUAGCAUGCAUUUUGCAGUGGCAAUUGCACGUUACUAUUACAUUAAUAAUGUGUUAUGAAACAUAUUCUUCAAAGUCUUUCGAGUAAUAAUAGCGUGCGUUGUACAUAACCAUGUAUAGACAGGAAAACGUUCAACUACCUACUCGUCACCAUCUGCGAGCAUUUCAAGCCCACGAUAACACACGGGAGAAAGAAAAUAAACCCGGAUAUCCGAUGACAAGAAAGAGAAGGGAUGUGUACAUAUUGCGUUUACAGGCAUCAAUCGACAGGAGAGUUGAAUGAAUGGACCAAUAUAAAAUCGGUAUCGUACAAUAAAUAUUAAUAUAUAUAUAAUAUGGUCGCAGACGCGGCGGAUGUAGAAUCGUAAGGGUGGGAGUCGAGAGGAUAGAGAUACUCCUCGCUCCUUGGGUAUAUCGACCUUUGUGGCUCCUAGUGAACGCGCGGGAACCGUACGUAGGAAAUUUUUAAUAACGAAGUUCGCGCUAUUGUUAGCCCGCGAACGAGAAGAAAGAAUCAGCAAAUAGAUCAGCAACAGAGCAUGAGAAGAACUUAUAUGAAAAAGCGGCGAAUAGCACGCCCACGGAGUUUUACAAAAUUGCCACGUAUAAAAGUUGUGCAAAAAAUGUAGAAGAACAAUUAUUUUGGUAUCAUGUCGCAUCGAUUAAUGUUAUUUGAAAGGCCGAAGCUGGACAGAGAGUCAUUUCGCUAAAAUGUUGAUGAGACGCUGGGAAAAACAAGCAUGACAUAACCAGAGAAUGAGAAAAACAUAGAAGAAUUUAGUAGGGGCGUAAUUAAUGAGCCUGUUGUUCCUUUCACUGUUAGCAAAAAUUUGACCGAGAGUUUUACUGUCGUAAAAACAGAUGAACGGCGAAUACAUUGAGUAAGUUUGAUCUAUUUCUGAUGCUUGGAGCGUAAUAGAAAAUUUAUAGAUUUUUAAAAGAACGAUAAUAAGGAAAAGAUUAAAGCUACUUUUGAUUAUUAAAGUGUAAUUGUCACAUAAUUAUAAUAAACUGACUUUGAUCAAAUAGAAAGCUGCUUGAUAUUUUACCAAGGACGUUUUACCAAGUAACCCGCCUUUAUCAAAAUAUUAAACGAUAAGAUAACAUUCAAAAUUCUUUGAUCGCGUUAUAAGCAGUAACGUCUCCUCCAGACGCAGAUGGUAAGCGUCCAAUAGGCUUGUAAUAUGUGCGGUGCGAAACGAGCGAUCGAGGAGAGGUUGAACGAACGACAGGACGUUCAUUCAGACUAUGCGUCCGAGCGCAAUGCACUCGGCAUUUGUCCGUCCCUGAUCGUACCAAUCUAUAAUUCACCGAAUCUAAAAAUAUUUAUACACGGAGACGUAUAAGAUCCGAAUAAAGGGAUUUUCAGUGAAAUUCGCCUAGAACGGUUACUCUUCCCCGACUCAUUUUUAUCCGAAGUGCCAACGUGUCCAAUGCGUACAGCUAUGGCUAGACGGACAAUUAACCUUUCAAAAAAUAGUAGAAUCGUGUAGCAAACCGGCAAAGGCCAAGAGGAGGAAAGCGAUGAAGGACAAAAGCGAGCAAAGGAAGAAUCAGAGCGGGCCUGCGCCGUCUGACCGACACGUAUAAAUAAAGAGUUGGAUAGCUGCGGGGUUGCCAAUUCUCGGUAAUAUUGAUCCACGAAGCAGACACGGUCGCCAGCCGGGGGUCACGUACGGAAACGUGGCAAUCCAGCCCCAUUCCCAGCUGAUCGAGCUCUACUCACGAACUCACGUCUGCUCGACGGUCGGUCGGGUCUCCUUUCCCCUCUGAGGCUCAAAGAUUAUCUCGCUUCCGCACGAGCGUCCCCUCUUUCUCUCGUAACUAGCAACCGGCACUUAUCGGCCUGCUCUGAACCGCAGGCCUUUCCUUUCUUACAUUGCCGGUCGACCAUUCUGUUUCGACUUGGAGAACCAACCGAAGCGGGCAACGCUUCUUUCCACUCGUUAACUCGAACGAUAUUAUGCAAUAAAGAAAGGCACUACAUGCGAAACUCAUUGGAAUUCUUGCUUACUUUUUCAAAUAAAAUAUUAUUAAACGCAGUGUAACGCUUCCUCGCGAUAUUCCCUUGUAUUUCA